CUCAGCUGGGUAUCGAGUGCCCCUCAAAUGCGACUUAGUAAGAGUAUAAAACAAAGCAAUCAUCUAAUUAAAUCACCACGACUGGCAUCUUCAGACUACAGUGGAUCCCAGGCAUGAAAGGCUUUGCAAUGUCACUCAACCCACCUCCAGUGAACACAAGGCAGUGGAACCAGUUAACAUCACAAUUUGGUUCCAGCAGCAUUAAAUUAGCUCCCCUUGCUCGAGUUUCCUGCACACACCCAUUGAUUGUUCCAGAUAAGGCACAUUCUAGUUUGUGCUGGUCUCAUAAACAUGCGUAUUUUAUACAACAGUUGAGAUGGUGAACAGCAACAAUCCCUUAAGACCGUCUCCCUUAAGACAGGAAUAUACUGUCCUGGACCAAAAGGCAGUUAUGAUGCAAGGGGCCUUCUAGGGGUGAUCUUCAGAUGUCCUAUACAGCCCUGCACUGAAUAAGAGGUAAGAAGAUGGAUAGAUGGAUGGAUGGAUGGAUGGAUGGAUGCAGAACAUCACAAUGCACUUCUGAACAGCAGAUGUUCCAUCUUACUCCCCAGUCCAUAAAAUGUACCGAUGGAGCCUUUGUGAAUUAAAUCAUUAGUACACAUAAUUUAGGGCUUGAGUAAUCUCAUCUAAGGAAAUAUUUUAAUUAUGUGGAAACCCACUGUUAAUCCACAAUUUAUGAAAGCCAGGUUGGGCUAUUUCCUAUGAUAACACUGAAUUUUAGCAAAAACCUGCAGGCAUUUAACUGCCUAAAUAGUAAUGCCCCUAAACUGACUUUUUGUGGAGUUUCUCUCAAGCUAGUGCAACAUUAUGAAAUCUAAAAAAAAAUUUUUAAAUUCCACGUCCACUGAAAUGGUUCUCUUUGAAGUCAUUGGCGUGUGACGUGAAUGGAUCCGUGUUCAGUGCCUGAAAGACACUGAGAUUACAGUCAGUUCUGACAGUUUUUAAACCUGCGAGUCUGACCAUUGCACUUAGAAUUUACUGACUUAUUUUUAUGAACAUACUGCUGGCCAAAAAUCAGGUUCAUCCACUAAAAAGAAUGACCACCCAGGAAGAGUAAGUGCAUAAAUUAUCAUUACAUAGCCCAGACGCUUGCUCUACACAACCACUUUACGUAUAUGAAUUUUGUAUAUAACUCUCCCAUAAACAUUUAGCAUACUUCCCUUUUGUUUGCUUGGUAAUAGUAGUCAGUGCUAUACAUGUACUGUAUAAGCAUAUAUACACAAAGAUAAACCGUAGCAUAGAACACACAUCAUCAUCUUGCAGUUUAUAUGCAUUUGACAGGAUUGUUUUAGGGAAAAUGUAGAUUUGAUGAGGCUGUAGCCUGCAUUCGAGUACAUGUGUUUAUAAGUAUGUUUGCACUCCUUUUUCCAUUCCUAGCAGGGAAAGUCAACUAUUUACUUGGCCCUCCGGCCGAAGAUUAUGUGUGAGGACUGCACUUGGGCCCCCAGAUUUCCAUGGAAAAGGUCAAAGGCUCAUUUCUACCAUGGACAUUCUCACUGAACUGCCACAUCUCCAUGCCCAAGUGCAUUGCUGCACCAUCAUCAUACGUCACUCACACGGUGGAUCUCGCCACCAGGCACUGGGGACGACCCUCCCACUCUCUCGCCAGCCCUUCUUUGGAGAACGUCCUGUGGGACCUGCACUCCAAAGGCUGAGACCCAGAGAAGCAGAAGAUGACGCAAUGCUGUUGAUAUUUUACUUUCAGAAGCUAAAAAUUGCCUGGAAGUUACACAGUGCUGCAGGGCAGGUAGAAUAUCACAGUCCUUCCCUAGAGCCAAGAUUGUGAGGCUUCAACUGAGUUCUGACCAUCCUCUGCAAUGACACAUGGCUGUCACUGAGACCCCAAGGCAGUGACCAGCUGUCAGGAGAGUCACACACAUUAUCCUUCUGCUUAGUUCAUUCCCGUAGUCGUUCUUGCGACUCUAAGUCGUUCUUGCCUCUAGGCAGAAAAAUCUGAAUAUCCAUGGAAAAUCACCCUCUUGGAAAGUUUCACAGCGACAAGAGGCAGAUGUAAAUUUGUGGUUAUUGUCUGAAUUGCCUCUUUCUGAGACACCAGGGUAUCAACGGUGACGUAUGACACAUGGGGUAAUUCACUGGCCUGAAGAUUUACCGUCAAAAUUGGCUGUCACAUGUUAGCUGUGCCUAUUACAGUUCCAAAGGAAUAUACUUAAUAACUGGCAGAUGUACCAUAAAACUCUCUCAGGACAUGUUAAAGUCAUACUGAAAAAAAAUCAGACCAAGAUGUUUCCUGAAAAAAGCAGGAAUAGGCACAAGAACUAUUUCAAAAUAAACACAUAUAUCACAGAUUUCA